AGUGCGGCUCUCCUCUGGCAUGAGGGCGCGACUGAGAGGCACGAACAGUUUCUGGCCUUCUCCUGCCAAUGCCAAAGGAGAGUUGCCCUGC